GGGUAGCUCAAUGGUAGAGCACCUGCUUUGCAUCCUGAAGUCCCCAGGUUCAAUCCCGGCAUCUCCU